rnacentral:rRNA from 1 species
UACGUAGGGUGCAAGCGUUAUCCGGAAUUAUUGGGCGUAAAGAGCUCGUAGGCGGUUUGUCACGUCUGCUGUGAAAACUGGAGGCUCAACCUCCAGCCUGCAGUGGGUACGGGCAGACUAGAGUGCGGUAGGGGAGAUUGGAAUUCCUGGUGUAGCGGUGGAAUGCGCAGAUAUCAGGAGGAACACCGAUGGCGAAGGCAGAUCUCUGGGCCGUAACUGACGCUGAGGAGCGAAGGCAUGGGGAGCGAACAGG